GUGCUCGCUUUGACAGCACAUAUACUAAAAUGGAAACUAUAAAGAGAAUAUUAGCAUGGCCCCUGCAUAAGAAUGACACACAAAUUCAAGAAGCAGUACAUAUCUUU
ensembl:snRNA U6 U6 spliceosomal RNA